rnacentral:rRNA from 1 species
CUAGCCAACCUUCUGGCUUCACUUCACAAGCAGGGUGGGGUCGGAGUUAAUACUGGAUUGAGAGAUCACCAGGGAAUCGCAGUCUGUAGGCUAGA